rnacentral:lncRNA from 1 species
AUGACGACGUUAAUAGUAACGCCGGAGAACGAACCUGUAAAAGUAAAACAUCACCGUAUGAGCGACGGCUCAUCUGCGCAUUAUUUCACUGAAUAUAUCGAAUUCCGCCAGUUGAACGGUUUGGACGUCAUUCAAGCGACGACCAUCGACAGUGCAAACUUCGUGGACUGCAAACAUGGAUUCGUUUGCGGCGUCCUGGACGCGUACAACAGACACCAUAACCUCUCGAUCCGUCCAGACGACGUUUGGCUCGCCAUCAUGUCGCAGUUCUCUUUCCACUUCAACGCCAACGCCGAAAAGUACCGGUCCCAGACCGUGGCUCACGAGGGGAAAGUCGGACUGGUGGCGGAAUCUGUCGGGACUUUGUACACCGCGAACUACGCCCUGAUGGUCGAAUCCAUCGUGGGGUUGAUGCGGGGACAUUUAAAAGACGCCGACUUGUGCGACUGGGUAUUGCCGUCUUUCUCGACGACCACGGACAACGACCGAAUCGUCGGCAGCGUUAUGCUGAUGGCGACGUGUCAGAGUUUCUUCGAUUACAAAUUUUGCUUAGCCUGCGGUAUUCCGAAAAUCGAAAUUCUAGGCACCGUGGACGACUGGAAGGACAUCAGGGGUCGCAUUUCGAAGUUGAAGGAGUACGGGGAGCAUUGCGUCAAGUGGAGUGAAAUGUUGACCAAGAUCCUGGAUGAGUUCGUCAAGGCCACCGACCCCGAUUGCGAGACCGAUAUGGAUUUCUGGAGGCGGAUUUGUCACUACAAGAGUGGAGGCUCCGGACCCGCGUACUUGAGCGGGUGGAUUUCGGCCUUCGCGGUGUUCUCGGAGAAGGGGAAGUGGCAAGGGGACAAGUUUUCGGUGAAACUCGGGCGUGAGAAGAUCGACGGUUUGGAUUAUCCUGUGAUCGACACCGAGGAUGUUCCGAGCGGAUACGCCGUCAUCGAGAAAGUGACUGUGGACGACAACGGUAAAACUUACGAUUGUUUCAUGUUCGCCGGCCACACUGGAUACCACGCGACGGACAACGGCUACUGUGUUUCGCCGCAGUUAAGUUGGGGCCUUUGCACGAAAGGGAAUGCUCCAGAAGGACAGCACCGGCAAAAAAAUAUCGAUCUCCAUUUUCCAGACGAUUUUUAA